rnacentral:rRNA from 1 species
AACGAACGCUGGCGGCAUGCCUAACACAUGCAAGUCGAACGAGACCUUCGGGUCUAGUGGCGCACGGGUGCGUAACGCGUGGGAACCUGCCUUUAGGUUCGGAAUAACUCAGAGAAAUUUGAGCUAAUACCGGAUGAUGUCUUCGGACCAAAGAUUUAUCGCCUUUAGAUGGGCCCGCGUUGGAUUAGCUAGUUGGUGGGGUAAAGGCCUACCAAGGCGACGAUCCAUAGCUGGUCUGAGAGGAUGAUCAGCCACACUGGGACUGAGACACGGCCCAGACUCCUACGGGAGGCAGCAGUGGGGAAUAUUGGACAAUGGGCGAAAGCCUGAUCCAGCAAUGCCGCGUGAGUGAUGAAGGCCUCAGGGUUGUAAAGCUCUUUUACCCGAGAUGAUAAUGACAGUAUCGGGAGAAUAAGCUCCGGCUAACUCCGUG